GGUGCGCAUCGUGACUGGCGAGCCGAGCGUGGAACCGACCACGAGGAAGCGAUGCGCGGCCUUAGCGCCACGAGGUGCCGCCCGCCUGGGCACCCCGG
rfam:Streptomyces violaceusniger Tu 4113, complete genome.